CAAGAGAAGACAUCAGCUACCCCAGAUGAAAUUAAUAAAACAGUACAAUAUCGAGCAACCCGGUGCGCCCCGAGAACAUUGGAGACAGAGCGGCGUCGCAGUCGUCGUUUCCUUGCGUCUAAUUAAAAAUGCACAGUUAUAAAUAAUAAUAUACAUCAACUACAAAUAUAAUGCAAUAAUUAUUAGUUCACAC